rnacentral:piRNA from 1 species
GUGUGUGACUCUGGUGUCCCCUGCUGU